rnacentral:rRNA from 1 species
CCUACGGGUGGCUGCAGUGGGGAAUAUUGCACAAUGGGGGAAACCCUGACGCAGCGACGCCGCGUGAGGGAUGAAGGUCUUCGGAUCGUAAACCUCUGUCAGCAGGGAAGAACGGUCACUGUGCUAAUCAGCAGUGAAUUGACGGUACCUGCAAAGGAAGCACCGGCUAACUCCGUGCCAGCAGCCGCGGUAAUACGGAGGGUGCGAGCGUUAAUCGGAAUUACUGGGCGUAAAGCGCUCGUAGGCGGUAUGUCAAGUCAAGGGUGAAAUCCCCGCGCUCAACGUGGGAACUGCCUUUGAAACUGGCAAACUGGAGUGUGUGAGAGGAUAGUGGAAUUCCAGGUGUAGCGGUGAAAUGCUUAGAUAUCGCGCAGAACCCCGAUUGCGAAGGCAGCGUACCGGCUCCACACUGACGCUGAGGCACGAAAGCGUGGGUAUCGAACAGGAUUAGAUACCCCAGUAGUC